rnacentral:lncRNA from 1 species
AAUAUAGGAAGUUUUCAAUAAAACGUAAUUUCACAAGAGAUUGAUAUGUGUUGGUCAAAUUGUCUGCAAAAUCACAUACUUGGCGGUUUCAAGAGUGUUCAGGUGAGUUAUCUCAAUAUACAAUGUAUUACAAUAUAUAUUCAUGUAUGUUAGGAUAGAGAGCUAGUAGAGUAAAAAUAUAGUCUUUAUGUGCUUUAUGUUAUUAUACAUGUGUUAUUGGGUAGAGCCGAAAGUAUAAUCUCUAUGUGCUUAUUGUUACUGUUCUUGAACUAGUAGAAUAAUGCUGAAAGUAUAAUCUCUAUGUGUUUAAAUGUUAUUAUAUUUAAGUUAUUACGGUUAAGUUAGGGGUUGACGGCGGAACGACGAUAGGUCGGGAGCCUAUAGACCCGUGUGUUGACAACGAAAUGGCAAGUAGGUCGUAAGUCUAGAUACACAUAUUAUUGGUGGAUCGGCAAAAGGUCGCGAGCCAUUGUUUGUAUGCAUGUAUAUAUAUUGUGAUAUAUAGUAUCUUGGGAAACUCACUAAGCUUCGACUUACAGUUGUUGAAUAACUUUUUUUCAGGUUGAUCUUCUAAUCAUGAAAAGGCUCCAGCGUGACUGUAUUCGCAUCGAAGAAAUUAAUAAUGUUUUUAGACUUCCACUAAAUCUCUCUUUUAUAUUUAAUAAAUGUAUGACAAUGAUCUUUUAAUAAAGA